CCAAGUGGAUCAAGGCAGUGGAUUGUGAAUCCACCAUGCA
rnacentral:tRNA from 1 species